rnacentral:rRNA from 1 species
UAGGGAAUCUUCCGCAAUGGGCGAAAGCCUGACGGAGCAACGCCGCGUGAGUGAUGAAGGUCUUCGGAUCGUAAAACUCUGUUAUUAGGGAAGAACAAAAGUGUAAGUAACUAAGCACGUCUUGACGGUACCUAAUCAGAAAGCCACGGCUAACUACGUGCCAGCAGCCGCGGUGAUACGAAGGUGGCAAUCGUUAACCGGAAUUAUUGGGCGUAAAGCGCGCGUAGGCGGUUUGUUAAGUCUGAUGUGAAAGCCCGCGGCUCAACCCUGGAAGGUCAUUUGAAACUGGAAAACUUGAGUGCAGGAGAGGAAAGUGGAAUUCCAAGUGUAGCGGUGAAAUGCGUAGAGCUUAGGAGGAACACCAGUGGCGAAGGCGACUUUCUGGUCUGUUACUGACGCUGAGGUGCGAAAGCGUGGGGAGCAAACAGG